rnacentral:lncRNA from 1 species
AGUCUUUGUAAAAGUGACGUGAAGAGAUUUUCAUGUUGGAAAGAUGACUAACUGCAUCGUAGAAUUAAUGUGAAAGGGUGGCCCAAGGAAGCAAGUUUCUUCACAGCUAUUGCAAUAAACAGGGUCUACUGGAGACCUUGGCUUUUUAUUUCCCUGACACAACUUCACACUGCUGGAGCAAUGCUUGGAUUGCUCUGGAAACACUGGCAAAUCUCAAGAUGCAGUUCAGGCUUCUCCAUGAUGAGUGUGAGUCCCUAGGCUGUCUCUCAAACUAAAGAUUCCCCAGCCAGGCAACUCUAAAGAGUCUUCGACAAGGCAACACAAUUACUCUGUGUGCUUAGAAGAAGAGGGGUCAUAAAUGUCAGCUGUUGCUCUUUGAGUCCUGCUAAUUCAUUCAUUGAUUCACUCAUCUUUCCCACAGGCAUGUGCUGUGCGUUUACUGUACUGCAUGACACUGUGGAGGUUAUAAAGAAAUAAAAUAUUUGGGGCUUAAAAAAAAAAAAA